rnacentral:miRNA from 1 species
UCAAAAUAAGGCGUGAAAUUGCAGGAACUC